rnacentral:rRNA from 1 species
CGUUUUCCCGGGCCUCUAGCAUAUCAAUAAGCGGAGGAAAAGAAACCAACAGGGAUUACCUCAGUAACGGCGAGUGAAGCGGUAAUAGCUCAAAUUUGAAAUCUGGCUUCGGUCCGAGUUGUAAUUUGUAGAAGAUGCUUCGGGUGUGGCUCCGGUCUAAGUUCCUUGGAACAGGACGUCAUAGAGGGUGAGAAUCCCGUAUGUGACUGGAUGCUCCGCCUAUGUGAAGCUCUUUCGACGAGUCGAGUUGUUUGGGAAUGCAGCUCAAAAUGGGUGGUAUAUUUCAUCUAAAGCUAAAUAUUGGCCAGAGACCGAUAGCGCACAAGUAGAGUGAUCGAAAGAUGAAAAGCACUUUGGAAAGAGAGUUAAACAGUACGUGAAAUUGUUGAAAGGGAAGCGCUUGCAAUCAGACUUGCACGCUACUGAUCAUCCGAUGUUCUCACCGGUGCACUCAGUUGCGUUCAGGCCAGCAUCGGUUUGGGUGGUUGGAUAAAGGCCUUGGGAAUGUAGCUUCUUUCGGGGAGUGUUAUAGCCCUCGGUGCAAUGCAGCCAACCUGGACCGAGGACCGCGCUUCGGCUAGGAUGCUGGCGUAAUGAUUGUAAGCGACCCGUCUUGAAACACGGACCAAGGAGUCUAACAUCUAUGCGAGUAUUUGGGUGUUAAACCCAUAUGCGUAAUUAACGUGAACGGAGGUAAGAGCCCUUAAGGGUGCAUUAUCGACCGGUCCUGAUGUCUUCGGAAGGAUCUGAGUAAGAGCAUAGCUGUUGGGACCCGAAAGAUGGUGAACUAUGCCUGAAUAGGGUGAAGCCAGAGGAAACUCUGGUGGAGGCUCGCAGCGGUUCUGACGUGCAAAUCGAUCGUCAAAUUUGGGUAUAGGGGCGAAAGACUAAUCGAACCAUCUAGUAGCUGGUUCCUGCCGAGUCUC